UAACAGGAUUAGAUACCCUGGUAGUCCACGCUGUAAACGAUGUCGACUUGGAGGUUGUUCCCUUGAGGAGUGGCUUCCGGAGCUAACGCGUUAAGUCGACCGCCUGGGGAGUACGGCCGCAAGGUUAAAACUCAAAUGAAUUGACGGGGGCCCGCACAAGCGGUGGAGCAUGUGGUUUAAUUCGAUGCAACGCGAAGAACCUUACCUACUCUUGACAUCCAGAGAACUUAGCAGAGAUGCUUUGGUGCCUUCGGGAACUCUGAGACAGGUGCUGCAUGGCUGUCGUCAGCUCGUGUUGUGAAAUGUUGGGUUAAGUCCCGCAACGAGCGCAACCCUUAUCCUUUGUUGCCAGCGGUUCGGCCGGGAACUCAAAGGAGACUGCCAGUGAUAAACUGGAGGAAGGUGGGGAUGACGUCAAGUCAUCAUGGCCCUUACGAGUAGGGCUACACACGUGCUACAAUGGCAUAUACAAAGAGAAGCGACCUCGCGAGAGCAAGCGGACCUCAUAAAGUAUGUCGUAGUCCGGAUUGGAGUCUGCAACUCGACUCCAUGAAGUCGGAAUCGCUAGUAAUCGUAGAUCAGAAUGCUACGGUGAAUACGUUCCCGGGCCUUGUACACACCGCCCGUCACACCAUGGGAGUGGGUUGCAAAAGAAGUAGGUAGCUUAACCUUCGGGAGGGCGCUUACCACUUUGUGAUUCAUGACUGGGGUGAAGUCGUAACAAGGUA
rnacentral:rRNA from 1 species